GAGGAUAUGAUGUAAGAUCGUACGUUAUCGUAUGUUCUGGAGUAUCACUUAUUUGCCAGAAUAUUACCGCAAGAAGCUGCAUAGCUGAUAGACCAAGGGAAAGAAACAAAGCAGUCAUCAUCGUACACAUGUAAGGUCUUGCAAGGAGAUAAUCACUCCAUUGCACCUGAUCCCACCUCUGAUGUUUUAGAGUUUCCCUCUGUGCAGUUUGGGUAAAAUUGAAGUAAGAAUUCUGAAUACCAUGGAUUUGGAUUUGUUUCUGUACUCUGGCUGCAAAUACAAUGAUUGAAAUUAUAUUGUAAUUAUAUGUAAUAUAAAUUGUACAUUUUUUUAAACCAU